AUGUACUCGUCGACGACCACUCACUGCAUCUCCGGUGACAAUGUCGUCGAAAUCAAACACGACUGGAUCUCUGAAGCAGUAGACAAUGGUUCCCUCUGCCACGUCAACUUACCACCGGUACCAGUAGUAAACGGUGGUUCCCUCCACCACGUCGACCUUACCACCGGUACCAACGACUGGUUCUCACCUCCAGGCGACCUCUUCUCCCUUUGA